AUACGUAGGGUGCGAGCGUUGUCCGGAAUUACUGGGCGUAAAGAGCUCGUAGGUGGUUUGUCGCGUCGUCUGUGAAAUUCCGGGGCUUAACUCCGGGCGUGCAGGCGAUACGGGCAUAACUUGAGUACUGUAGGGGAGACUGGAAUUCCUGGUGUAGCGGUGAAAUGCGCAGAUAUCAGGAGGAACACCGGUGGCGAAGGGAGGUCUCUGGGCAGUAACUGACGCUGAGGUGCGAAAGCAUGGGUAGCGAACAGGAUUAGAUACCCGGGUAGUCCAUGCCGUAAACGGUGGGCGCUAGGUGUAGGGGUCUUCCACGACUUCUGUGCCGUAGCUAACGCAUUAAGCGCCCCGCCUGGGGAGUACGGCCGCAAGGCUAAAACUUAAAGGAAUUGACGGGG
rnacentral:rRNA from 1 species